rnacentral:rRNA from 1 species
UACGUAGGGACCGAGCGUUGUCCGGAAUCAUUGGGCGUAAAGAGCGUGUAGGCGGCCACUUAAGUCCUGCGUGAAAUCUUGCGGCUCAACCGCAAGCGGUCGUGGGAAACUGGGUGGCUAGAGUGCGGGAGAGGAGAGUGGAAUUCCUGGUGUAGCGGUGGAAUGCGCAGAUAUCAGGAAGAACACCCGUGACGAAGGCGGCUCUCUGGAACGCAACUGACGCUGAGACGCGAAAGCGUGGGGAGCAAGCAGG